rnacentral:rRNA from 1 species
GACGAACGCUGGCGGCGUGCUUAACACAUGCAAGUCGAACGGAAAGGCCCUGCUUUUGUGGGGUGCUCGAGUGGCGAACGGGUGAGUAACACGUGAGUAGCCUGCCCUUGACUUUGGGAUAACUUCAGGAAACUGGGGCUAAUACCGGAUAGGAGCUCCUGCUGCAUGGUGGGGGUUGGAAAGUUUCGGCGGUUGGGGAUGGACUCGCGGCUUAUCAGCUUGUUGGUGGGGUAGUGGCUUACCAAGGCUUUGACGGGUAGCCGGCCUGAGAGGGUGACCGGCCACAUUGGGACUGAGAUACGGCCCAGACUCCUACGGGAGGCAGCAGUGGGGAAUAUUGCACAAUGGGCGGAAGCCUGAUGCAGCAACGCCGCGUGCGGGAUGACGGCCUUCGGGUUGUAAACCGCUUUCGCCUGUGACGAAGCGUGAGUGACGGUAAUGGGUAAAGAAGCACCGGCUAACUACGU